rnacentral:rRNA from 1 species
CAGCAGCCGCGGUAAUACGUAGGGUGCGAGCGUUAACCGGAAUUACUGGGCGUAAAGCGUGCGCAGGCGGUUAUAUAAGACAGAUGUGAAAUCCCCGGGCUCAACCUGGGACCUGCAUUUGUGACUGUAUAGCUAGAGUACGGUAGAGGGGGAUGGAAUUCCGCGUGUAGCAGUGAAAUGCGUAGAUAUGCGGAGGAACACCAAUGGCGAAGGCAAUCCCCUGGACCUGUACUGACGCUCAUGCACGAAAGCGUGGGGAGCAAACAUGAUUAGAUACCCCGGUAGUCCCUGUCUCUUAUAC